rnacentral:rRNA from 1 species
CAGCAGCCGCGGUAAUACGUAGGGUGCGAGCGUUAAUCGGAUUUACUGGGCGUAAAGCGUGCGCAGGCGGCCCGUUAAGACAGGUGUGAAAUCCCUGGGCUCAACCUAGGAAUUGCGCUUGUGACUGGCGGGCUCGAGUACGGGAGAGGGGGGUGGAAUCCCUGGUGUAGCAGGGAAAUGCGUAGACAUCAGGAGGAACACCGAUGGCGAAGGCAGCCCCCUGGGCCUGUACUGACGCUCAUGCACGAAAGCGGGGGGAGCAAACAGGAUUAGAUACCCUGGUAGUCCACGCCCUAAACGAUGGGUACUAGCCGUUUGGUGCGCGAUAGCGCUGAGUGGCGAAGCUAACGCGUGAAGUACCCCGCCUGGGGAGUACGGCCGCAAGGUUGAAACUUAAAGGAAUUGGCGGG